rnacentral:rRNA from 1 species
CAGGCCUAACACAUGCAAGUCGAGGGGUAACAUAGAAGAGCUUGCUUUUCUGAUGACGACCGGCGCACGGGUGCGUAACGCGUAUGCAACCUACCUCUUACUGGAGGAUAGCCCGAAGAAAUUCGGAUUAAUACUCCAUAGUAUUUCUUUCUCACCUGAGAUUGAAAUUAAAGGUUACGGUAAGAGAUGGGCAUGCGUCCUAUUAGCUAGAUGGUAAGGUAACGGCUUACCAUGGCUACGAUAGGUAGGGGGCCUGAGAGGGUGAUCCCCCACACUGGUACUGAGACACGGACCAGACUCCUACGGGAGGCAGCAGUGAGGAAUAUUGGGCAAUGGAGGCAACUCUGACCCAGCCAUGCCGCGUGCAGGAAGACGGUCCUAUGGAUUGUAAACUGCUUUUAUUUGUGAAUAAACUCCGGUACGUGUACCGGCCUGAAUGUAGCAAAUGAAUAAGCACCGGCUAACUCCGUGCCAGCAGCCGCGGUAAUACGGAGGGUGCAAGCGUUAUCCGGAAUCACUGGGUUUAAAGGGUCCGCAGGCGGAUGUAUAAGUCAGUGGUGAAAUCCUACAGCUUAACUGUAGAACUGCCAUUGAUACUGUACAUCUUGAAUUCGGUCGAAGUGGGCGGAAUAUGUCAUGUAGCGGUGAAAUGCUUAGAUAUGACAUAGAACACCGAUAGCGAAGGCAGCUCACUAGGCCUGGAUUGACGCUCAGGGACGAAAGCGUGGGUAGCGAACAGGAUUAGAUACCCUGGUAGUCCACGCCGUAAACUAUCAAUACUCGUUUUCGGCGAUAUACAGUCGGAGACUAAGCGAAAGUGAU